rnacentral:rRNA from 1 species
GGUACGGGAUGGGCAUGCGCAACAUUAGCUAGUUGGUAGGGUAACGGCCUACCAAGGCUACGAUGUUUAGGGGACCUGAGAGGGUGAUCCCCCACACUGGAACUGAGACACGGUCCAGACUCCUACGGGAGGCAGCAGUAGGGAAUUUUGGGCAAUGGGCGAAAGCCUGACCCAGCAACGCCGCGUGUGGGAUGAAGGCCCUCGGGUCGUAAACCACUGUCAGGAGGAAAGAAAAGCCGGCCGGGUAAUAUUCGGUCGGCCUGACGGUACCUCCAAAGGAAGCGCCGGCUAACUCCGUGUCAGCAGCCGCGGUAAUACGGAGGGCGCGAGCGUUGUUCGGAAUUACUGGGCGUAAAGCGCGUGUAGGCGGCCAGGUAAGUCGGAUGUGAAAGCCCGGGGCCCAACCCCGGAACUGCACCCGAUACUGCCCGGCUGGAGUCCCGGAGAGGAUGGCGGAAUUUCCGGUGUAGAGGUGAAAUUCGUAGAUAUCGGAAGGAACACCAGUGGCGAAGGCGGCCAUCUGGACGGUGACUGACGCUGAGACGCGAAAGCGUGGGGAGCAAACAGGAUUAGAUACCCUGGUAGUCCACGCUGUAAACGUUGGGUGCUAGACGUCGGGGGUAUUGACCCCUCCGGUGUCGAAGCUAACGCAUUAAGCACCCCGCCUGGGGAGUACGGCCGCAAGGCUAAAACUCAAAGGAAUUGACGG